rnacentral:rRNA from 1 species
UGAACGCUGGCGGCGUGCUUAACACAUGCAAGUCGCACGAGAACGCUUCAGCUUGCUGAGGCUAGUAAAGUGGCGCACGGGUGAGUAACGCGUGGGUAAUCUCCCCCCGAAUUGGGGAUAACAUCGCGAAAGCGAUGCUAAUACCGAAUGAUAUCUGAAAAAUUCCGAUUUUUUGGAUCAAAGGUGGCCUCUACAUGUAAGCUACUGUUUGGGGAUGAGCCCGCGUACCAUUAGCUUGUUGGUAGGGUAAUGGCCUACCAAGGCUACGAUGGUUAGCUGGUCUGAGAGGAUGAUCAGCCACACUGGAACUGACACACGGUCCAGACUCCUACGGGAGGCAGCAGUGAGGAAUUUUGCGCAAUGGGGGAAACCCUGACGCAGCAACGCCGCGUGAGUGAUGAAGGCUUUCGGGUCGUAAAGCUCUGUCAAGUGGGAAGAAAACAUAUGGUGACAAUACCGCUGUAUGCUGACGGUACCACUGAAGGAAGCACCGGCUAACUCC